rnacentral:sRNA from 10 species
GAGAAAUUGUUGGAUUUCAAGGAAUCAAGCAAGUAAAGGUGCUGAACCCCCCGAUAAGGGCAAAGAUAUCAUGCUUGAGGAUCGAGAAUAUGAGUACUCCUACCACUCCAAAUUCCCAUUAUAAUUUGUGCUAAGUCAUCACCUAAGGAGUCUUAAAUACGCAAGAGAGAAGCUAUAGAGGGUUGAUGGAGGUGUAGAGCUCGAUUUCAAGAUACGAGAGAGAUAAGAUCGGCUUGAUUGGAGAAAAUUUGGUGACAUGCAACCUAUCCAAACCGUGGAUGCAUGAUGGAUUCAAAGUGUAAGAAAAAUGGAAGUGUACAAGUGGGGAAGGUUAGCCGUGGUGGCAUACCAGAAGUGGUAAUGGGCGACCAGUAAGAAACAUUUGCUAGAGACUCACCCAAAUCAAUAGUGACGUAGUGUCCCGCUAUUAUGAGAUAGUGAUAGGCCUAGUAUCCGUUCAUCGAUGUUUAUUGUCUAUCGCGGAUAGGUAAAGGAAUCUCGUAGCAUCUUACUCCGAGUCGCUCCGCUGCUAGAGGUCGAGUCAUUUAUAGCAUAGCGUAUUUAUAAUUAGUGUCAAUGUAAAUGUAUGGUUGGAUAUUAAGGACUUUGAUGUAAUUGCUUACAAUCAUAUGGAGUAAAAGUUAAGUUGAUUAAUUAUGUUUAUUGUUCAAUUCAUGUCACAAGAGUUAUGCAGUUUAAAGCAUUAACUGUAACACCUUGUACUUGAUAUGGUGACUAAUAAA